GACGAACGCUGGCGGCGUGCUUAACACAUGCAAGUCGAGCGGUAAGGCCCUUUCGGGGGUACACGAGCGGCGAACGGGUGAGUAACACGUGGGUGACCUGCCCUCAGCUCUGGGAUAAGCCUGGGAAACUGGGUCUAAUACUGGAUAUGACUCCACGGUGCAUGUCGGUGGGGUGGAAAGCCUUGUGCGGCUGAGGAUGGGCCCGCGGCCUAUCAGCUUGUUGGGUGGGGNG
rnacentral:rRNA from 1 species